GACGGCCUUCGGGUUGUAAACCUCUUUCAGCAGGGACGAAGCGAGAGUGACGGUACCUGCAGAAGAAGCACCGGCCAACUACGUGCCAGCAGCCGCGGUAAGACGUAGGGUGCGAGCGUUGUCCGGAUUUAUUGGGCGUAAAGAGCUCGUAGGCGGCUUGUCGCGUCGACCGUGAAAACUUGGGGCUCAACCCCAAGCCUGCGGUCGAUACGGGCAGGCUAGAGUUCGGUAGGGGAGACUGGAAUUCCUGGUGUAGCGGUGAAAUGCGCAGAUAUCAGGAGGAACACCGAUGGCGAAGGCAGGUCUCUGGGCCGAUACUGACGCUGAGGAGCGAAAGCGUGGGGAGCGAACAGGAUUAGAUACCCUGGUAGUCCA
rnacentral:rRNA from 2 species